rnacentral:rRNA from 1 species
UUCCGGUUGAUCCUGCCAGACCUGACUGCUNAUCGGAUUGAUACUAAGCCAUGCGAGUCGUUGUAGCAAUACAAGGCAUACGGCUCAGUAACGCGUAGUCAACCUAACCUAUGGACGGGAAUAACCUCGGGAAACUGAGAAUAAUGCCCGAUAGAACAUUAUGCCUGGAAUGGUUUAUGUUCCAAAUGAUUUAUCGCCAUAGGAUGGGACUGCGGCCUAUCAGUUUGUUGGUGAGGUAAUGGCCCACCAAGACUAUUACAGGUACGGGCUCUGAGAGGAGUAGCCCGGAGAUGGGUACUGAGACACGGACCCAGGCCCUAUGGGGCGCAGCAGGCGAGAAAACUUUGCAGUGUGCGAAAGCACGACAAGGUUAAUCCGAGUGAUUUCUGCUAAAGAGAUCUUUUGUUAGUCCUAGAAACACUAACGAAUAAGGGGUGGGCAAGUUCUGGUGUCAGCCGCCGCGGUAAAACCAGCACCUCAAGUGGUCAGGAUGAUUAUUGGGCCUAAAGCAUCCGUAGCCGGCUCUGUAAGUUUUCGGUUAAAUCUGUACGCUCAACGUACAGGCUGCCGGAAAUACUGCAGAACUAGGGAGUGGGAGAGGUAGACGGUACUCGGUAGGAAGUGGUAAAAUGCUUUGAUCUAUCGAUGACCACCUGUGGCGAAGGCGGUCUACCAGAACACGUCCGACGGUGAGGGAUGAAAGCUGGGGGAGCAAACCGGAUUAGAUACCCGGGUAGUCCCAGCUGUAAACUAUGCAAACUCAGUGAUGCAUUGGCUUGUGGCCAAUGCAGUGCUGCAGGGAAGCCGUUAAGUUUGCCGCCUGGGAAGUACGUACGCAAGUAUGAAACUUAAAGGAAUU